UACAGAGGGGGCAAGCGUUGUUCGGAAUUACUGGGCGUAAAGGGCGCGUAGGCGGCCUUCUAAGUCGAACGUGAAAUCCCGGGGCUCAACCCCGGAACUGCAUUCGAAACUGCCUUGCUCGAGUACUGGAGAGGAGACUGGAAUUUACGGUGUAGCAGUGAAAUGCGUAGAUAUCGUAAGGAAGACCAGUGGCGAAGGCGAGUCUCUGGACAGUUACUGACACUGAGGCACGAAGGCCAGGGGAGCAAACGGG
rnacentral:rRNA from 1 species